rnacentral:rRNA from 1 species
CAAAAACAUAGCUUUUUGAAAAUUAAAAAUAAAAAGUAUCUUCUGCCCAAUGAUUUUAUAUUAAAUGGCCGCGGUAUCCUGACCGUGCGAAGGUAGCAUAAUCAUUUGCUUUUUAAUUAAAGGCUAGAAUGAAUGAAUAAACGAAAAUUUAGCUGUCUCAUUUAAAUUUAUAAAAAUUAAUCUUAAAGUGAAAAAGCUUUAAUUCUAUUAUAGGACAAAAAGACCCUAUUGAGCUUUAUAUAAUUUUUUUUUUUACAAAGUAUAUUAAUAAACUUUUAAAAAAAUCUAAUAUUUAGUUGGGGCGACUAAAGAAGAUUAAAAUCUUCUUUUUACUUAAAGAAAGCCAUUUCUCUCUUAGGAUCUAAUAAUAUUUAACUAAAGAAAAUAGCUACCAUAGGGAUAACAGUCUAAUUUUUCUUUAAAGUUCAAAUUAACAGAAAAGAUUAGCACCUCGAUGUUGGCUUAAGAUUUCCUUUUAUUGCAAUAAAUAACUAGGUAGGUUUGUUCAACCUUUAAAAUCU